rnacentral:misc_RNA from 1 species
ACCUGAUCAUCAAAAUUCCCAGGGAUCUCAAAUUCUGAACCUGAAACAUUGCCAAGCUCAUCCAAAGUGCCCUGGAAGUCCUCAUCAUCUAGGUUGACUGAUGAAUUUUCCACUUGCAUAGGCAAAGGAUCGGCGAGGGUUUCAUCAGUUUCCAGCAACUCCUGAUCAUUUGGUCUCAAAGAACUCUCAGAAUGUAACGGUGCUGGCUUAUUCUCUUCUGGGCUCCCCUCUUCAUCCUGGUUAGGAUAAGGGUUUUCUUGUUCCAUAGUUGAAGGUUUAAAAUCAGGAGUUCCCAGCUCAUUUUGAUCAAAAGAAAUAUGCCUCCCUCCCUUGGUAAGAUCCCUUAAAGUGCCCUUAUUUGCCCACAUAAGGCCACAAGCAUUGCAGAGAGUUCUUGGACCAGCUGGGCCCCGACGCAUUGCUGGAGUGUCCUUCUCACUAAUCCCACAGUGUUGACAUCUACAUAAAAUAGAUUCAGAAUGAGGAGUGCCAUUGCUUGGU